GCUGGUAUAGCUCAGUCGGUAGAGCAGCUCAUUCGUAAUGAGCAGGUCGCGGGUUCGAGUCCCAUUACCAGCUCCA
rnacentral:tRNA from 3 species